rnacentral:rRNA from 2 species
GUCGACGAUGAAGCCCAGCUUGCUGGGUGGAUUAGUGGCGAACGGGUGAGUAACACGUGAGUAACCUGCCCUUGACUCUGGGAUAAGCGCUGGAAACGGCGUCUAAUACCGGAUACGACCUGCCCCGGCAUCGGGUGCGGGUGGAAAGUUUUUCGGUCAAGGAUGGACUCGCGGCCUAUCAGGUAGUUGGUGAGGUAAUGGCUCACCAAGCCGACGACGGGUAGCCGGCCUGAGAGGGUGACCGGCCACACUGGGACUGAGACACGGCCCAGACUCCUACGGGAGGCAGCAGUGGGGAAUAUUGCACAAUGGGCGAAAGCCUGAUGCAGCAACGCCGCGUGGGGGAUGACGGCCUUCGGGUUGUAAACCUCUUUUAGUAGGGAAGAAGGGCUUCGGCUUGACGGUACCUGCAGAAAAAGCACCGGCUAACUACGUGCCAGCAGCCGCGGUAAUACGUAGGGUGCAAGCGUUGUCCGGAAUUAUUGGGCGUAAAGAGCUCGUAGGCGGUUUGUCGCGUCUGCUGUGAAAACCCGAGGCUCAACCUCGGGCCUGCAGUGGGUACGGGCAGACUAGAGUGCGGUAGGGGAGAAUGGAAUUCCUGGUGUAGCGGUGGAAUGCGCAGAUAUCAGGAGGAACACCGAUGGCGAAGGCAGUUCUCUGGGCCGUUACUGACGCUGAGGAGCGAAAGCGUGGGGAGCGAACAGGAUUAGAUACCCUGGUAGUCCACGCCGUAAACGUUGGGAACUAGAUGUGGGGACCUUUCCACGGUCUCCGUGUCGCAGCUAACGCAUUAAGUUCCCCGCCUGGGGAGUACGGCCGCAAGGCUAAAACUCAAAGGAAUUGACGGGGGCCCGCACAAGCGGCGGAGCAUGCGGAUUAAUUCGAUGCAACGCGAAGAACCUUACCAAGGCUUGACAUAUACCGGAAACUUCCAGAAAUGGUUGCCCCGCAAGGUCGGUAUACAGGUGGUGCAUGGUUGUCGUCAGCUCGUGUCGUGAGAUGUUGGGUUAAGUCCCGCAACGAGCGCAACCCUCGUUCUAUGUUGCCAGCACGUCAUGGUGGGAACUCAUAGGAGACUGCCGGGGUCAACUCGGAGGAAGGUGGGGAUGACGUCAAAUCAUCAUGCCCCUUAUGUCUUGGGCUUCACGCAUGCUACAAUGGCCGGUACAAAGGGCUGCGAUACCGUAAGGUGGAGCGAAUCCCAAAAAGCCGGUCUCAGUUCGGAUUGAGGUCUGCAACUCGACCUCAUGAAGUCGGAGUCGCUAGUAAUCGCAGAUCAGCAACGCUGCGGUGAAUACGUUCCCGGGCCUUGUACACACCGCCCGUCAAGUCAUGAAAGUCGGUAACACCCGAAGCCAGUGGCCUAAUCGCAA